AGAGACAGCAGUAGCCGCGGUAAUACGGAGGGCGCAAGCGUUAAUCGGAAUUACUGGGCGUAAAGCGUGCGUAGGCGGUUCGUUAAGUCUGUUGUGAAAGCCCCGGGCUCAACCUGGGAAUGGCAAUGGAUACUGGCGAGCUAGAGUGUGUCAGAGGAUGGUGGAAUUCCCGGUGUAGCGGUGAAAUGCGUAGAGAUCGGGAGGAACAUCAGUGGCGAAGGCGGCCAUCUGGGACAACACUGACGCUGAGGCACGAAGGCGUGGGGAGCAAACAGGAUUAGAUACCCCCGUAGUCCCUGUCUCUUAUAC
rnacentral:rRNA from 1 species